GGGAGGCGUGGGUGUUGCAUACCCAUCUUACAGAUCAGAAGACCGAGACGGUGGCAGAGUGCGUCCUCUACUACUACCUGACCAAGAAGAAUGAGAACUAUAAGAGCCUGGUGAGGAGGAGCUACCGGCGACGCGGCAAGAGCCAGCUUUGUGUUUGUUUUCAUGGUUCUCUGAGAGGAAAAAAAAUAGACAGAACUUGGAGUUGCUGCUUUCCAGAUGCCAGUGGCAGAGUUGGGACCGGGAGCUGAGUGCGGGAGGGCAGCUCUGAGCUCACAGGCUCAGGCCAGCCCCCUGCCUGUUCUUGCGAAUAAAGUUUUAUUGGAACACAGCCACAGUCAUUCUGGUACA
rnacentral:lncRNA from 1 species